rnacentral:rRNA from 1 species
UGGGGAAUUUUCCGCAAUGGGCGAAAGCCUGACGGAGUGACGCCGCGUGGGGGACGAAGGCCUUCGGGUUGUAAACCCCUGUCAGAGGGAAAGAAGGGUCGCCUGGCUAAUAUCCAGGUGAUCUGACGGUACCUUCAGAGGAAGCCCCGGCCAACUCUGUGCCAGCAGCCGCGGUAAGACAGAGGGGGCAAGCGUUGCUCGGAAUCACUGGGCGUAAAGGGCGCGUAGGCGGGAUGGCAAGUCAGUCGUGAAAUCUCUCGGCUCAACCGAGAAACGUCGGCUGAUACUGCCGUUCUUGAGGGAUGCAGAGGAGACUGGAAUUCCCGGUGUAGCGGUGAAAUGUGUAGAGAUCGGGAGGAACACCGGUGGCGAAGGCGGGUCUCUGGGCAUUUCCUGACGCUGAGGCGCGAAAGCGUGGGGAGCAAACGGGAUUAGAUACCCCCGUAGUCC